UAAGACGAACCGUCCAAACGUUGUUCGGAAUCACUGGGCUUAAAGGGCGCGUAGGCGGGCAAGCAAGUCCGGGGUGAAAGCGUUCGGCUCAACCGGACCAGGGCCUUGGAAACUGCUUGUCUGGAGGGAGGUAGGGGUCCGCGGAACUUCGGGUGGAGCGGUGAAAUGCGUUGAUAUCCGAAGGAACGCCGGUGGCGAAAGCGGCGGACUGGACCUUUUCUGACGCUGAGGCGCGAAAGCCAGGGGAGCAAACGGGAUUAGAUACCCCGGUAGUCCUGGCCCUAAACGAUGAGGACUAGAUUGCGGGCUUAACAUGGGUUCGCAAUCGAAGCAAAAGUGUUAAGUCCUCCGCCUGGGGAGUAUGGUCGCAAGGCUG
rnacentral:rRNA from 1 species